CCCAUGGGGGCCCGGCUUACACAUGCAGUCGAGCGGGGAAAGGUAGCUUGCUACUUGACCUAGCGGCGGACGGGUGAGUAAUGCUUAGGAAUCUGCCUAUUAGUGGGGGACAACAACUCGAAAGGGAUGCUAAUACCGCAUACGUCCUACGGGAGAAAGCAGGGGACCUUCGGGCCUUGCGCUAAUAGAUGAGCCUAAGUCGGAUUAGCUAGUUGGUGGGGUAAAGGCCUACCAAGGCGACGAUCUGUAGCGGGUCUGAGAGGAUGAUCCGCCACACUGGGACUGAGACACGGCCCAGACUCCUACGGGAGGCAGCACUGGGGAAUAUUGGACAAUGGGGGGAACCCUGAUCCAGCCAUGCCGCGUGUGUGAAGAAGGCCUUUUGGUUGUAAAGCACUUUAAGCGAGGAGGAGGCUACCGAGAUUAAUACUCUUGGAUAGUGGACGUUACUCGCAGAAUAAGCACCGGCUAACUCUGUGCCAGCAGCCGCGGUAAUACAGAGGGUGCAAGCGUUAAUCGGAUUUACUGGGCGUAAAGCGCGCGUAGGUGGCCAAUUAAGUCAAAUGUGAAAUCCCCGAGCUUAACUUGGGAAUUGCAUUCGAUACUGGUUGGCUAGAGUAUGGGAGAGGAUGGUAGAAUUCCAGGUGUAGCGGUGAAAUGCGUAGAGAUCUGAAGGAAUACCGAUGGCGAAGGCAGCCAUCUGGCCUAAUACUGACACUGAGGUGCGAAAGCAUGGGGAGCAAACAGGAUUAGAUACC
rnacentral:rRNA from 1 species